rnacentral:tRNA from 1 species
AUUUAUAUAAUUUAUUUAGAAUAUCGCGUUGAAGUUGCGAAAGAGAUGUAUAAUCUGUAAAUG